UUUCGCAAUGCCCGAAAGGGUGACGAAGCGACGCCGCGUGUGGGAAGAAGGCCUUCGGGUUGUAAACCACUGUCGGGAGUUAAGAAAUGUAAGGGUGUUAAUAGCAUCCUUGCUUGACUAAGGCUCCGGAGGAAGCCACGGCUAACUCUGUGCCAGCAGCCGCGGUAAUACAGAGGCGGCAAGCGUUGUUCGGAAUUAUUGGGCGUAAAGAGCACGUAGGCGGCCUUGUAAGUCAGUUGUGAAAGCCUUCUGCUUAACGGAAGAACAGCAGCUGAUACUGCAAGGCUAGAGUGCGGAAGGGGAGAGUGGAACUUCUGGUGGAGCGGUGAAAUGCGUAGAUAUCAGAAGGAACACCGGCGGCGAAGGCGACUCUCUGGUCCGUAACUGACGCUGAGUGUGCGAAAGCUAGGGGAGCAAACGGGAUUAGAUACCCCGGUAGUCCUAGCCGUAAACGAUGGGCACUAAGUAGAGGGGUUUUA
rnacentral:rRNA from 1 species